CAGGUGUAGUUCAAUGGUAGAACAGAAGACUACAAAUCUUCCGGUUGCCGGUUCGAGCCCGGUCGCCU
rnacentral:ncRNA from 15 species